ACGCACGCUGGCGGCGUGCUUCACCCCUGCCAGUCGCACGGAAAGGCCCUGCUUUUGUGGGGUGCUCGAGUGGCGAACGGGUGAGUAACACGUGAGUAACCUGCCCUUGACUUUGGGAUAACUUCAGGAAACUGGGGCUAAUACCGGAUAGGAGCUCCUGCUGCCUGGUGGGGGUUGGAAAGUUUCGGCGGUUGGGGAUGGACUCGCGGCUUAUCAGCUUGUUGGUGGGGUAGUGGCUUACCAAGGCUUUGACGGGUAGCCGGCCUGAGAGGGUGGCCGGCCACAUUGGGACUGAGAUACGGACCAGACUCCUACGGGAGGCAGCAGUGGGGAAUAUUGCACAAUGGGCGGAAGCCUGAUGCAGCAACGCCGCGUGCGGGAUGACGGCCUUCGGGUUGUAAACCGCUUUCGCCUGUGACGAAGCGUGAGUGACGGUAAUGGGUAAAGAAGCACCGGCUAACUACGUG
rnacentral:rRNA from 1 species